rnacentral:lncRNA from 1 species
UGGUGAAGGAACAGGUUGUGGUGGUGGUGGUGGAGGCGAGGAGCUGACAACCUUGGGUGGUGGCGAUGGCGUAGUUGGAUUCGGCGACGGCUUUGGGGAUGGUUUCCCCGGCUUGGGCGAUGGUUUCUUGGGACCUGAUCCGCAUUUGGAGCGACCGCAGUCGACAGGGCGGCUCACCACCGGCGCGCACAUCUCACCGGACUUUUGUGUCGGUCUCCUGGCGAGGCAGUUGCUCGUGUCGUCGAACACCACGUCGGACUUGGUGGACGUCGGCACACACUCGUCGGCCUCACCCUUGAAGAAGUUGUAGGAGAAGGUGAAGUUGGCAAGGCUGGGCAACCGGCAGAGUCCCGCCGGAACGACGCCCGUGAGGACGUUAUGCGACAGAUCCAACUGCUCCACCUUGGUCAGACCAUCGAAGCUCUUCGACAGCACACCCGUGAGGGAGUUCCAACUCACGUCCACCACCGUCGUGUUGCCCAACGACCCGAUCUCCGGCGGCAAGCAUCCAUCGAGGCCAUUGUUGAGAAGGACGAGCUCGUUGAGGGUGGCGCCCAUGUCCCCGAUGCUGGCCGGGAUACACCCGCCGAGCUUGUUGUUGGCGAGGACGAUGACGGAGGCCUUGGAGUUGCCGAAGUUGUUGGGAAUGUGAGAACUGAACCGGUUGUUGUUCAGAAAGAUUGCGUCCAGGUCCCUGUCGAAGAGCACCGGCGGUAGCGCGCCCUCGAAGUUGUUGAAACGAAGGUCGAGGUACUUGAGCGAGGGGAGGCCGAGAACAACAUCCGGGAACGGGCCGACGAAGCGAUUGUUGCUGGCGUCGAAUUCAUGGAGGAGCUUGAGGUGGGAGAAGCUCUUGGGGAUGAUGCCGCAGAAGCGAUUGGAGUUGAUGUGGAAGAGCGCGACGUCGGUCAAGAGGCCGAGCUCCGCCGGGAGGAACCCGGCGAUGUCAGCGCCAUUUAGGUCGGCGCCGGCGACGACGUUGAGCGAGGGAUCGUCGGGAGCCGGUGAGCAGAAUAUGCCGUUGUAGCCGCACACGUCGGGGCCGUCCCAGUUGGCGGUGAAGUUGUGAGGGUCGGAGUAGAUGGCGGUCUUCCAAGCUUGGAGGGCGACGUAGGAGCUGCGGAGGCGGGGAUUGGAGAUCCGGAUGCCGAUCUCGAUUUCGAACUCAAAGUCAUCGGGAAGUUGUCCGUUCUCAGGGAGGGCCAAGAGCUGGCGGCGGGCGAUGGCAGCGGCUUCGGCGUCGGAGAGGGCCGAGGAGGGGCGCGGGAGGAAGGAGGAAGAAAAGAGGAGGAGGAAGAGGAGGAGGCAGCGGCCCAGGGCCUCCAUGCUGGGUAGGGUCGAGAGAGGGAGGUGCACCACCCUGGAGAGCCCAAGGCUGCUUGCUUUAAGGGAAUGCAAUGGAGGGGGAGGAGGUUGAUAUAGCUGCGGGGGAAGGAGGAUUGGAGUUGAUGGCGAACGGCUUCCCUUGUUUGGAGGUGGGAGUUAGUUUUUCCUUUCUAUUUCUAUUGGAGAGAUGGAGGAGAACGAACGACCACGGGGACGUACUGCCCCAAUUGACGACGACAGGGUGGAGAAUCGAAUGGACGGAGGGCGAUGAAGCUUUGAUGGGAUUUAUUGGCGCAUCCCCCAAACUUAGCUUGAUCGACAACUAAUUCCAUGGAACAAUAUUUUUGCUUCUGAUGCGCAGACCUUUCGAGCACCGUCGCAUGUUGUCUCACGCCGGACCCCAUUUUGCCUGCAAGGGAUUUGACGCCUAAUUCCACAUCACUAAUCUCCCUCCUCUGCAAUGAUAUGGGUGUGAAUGCUAACGGUGACCAUGUGAUGAGUCAUCGGUCAUCGUUCUCGUGAGAGAGAAUGGCAGUGUGCUUCUAAAAUCUCAACUACACUGAUGAUGCGCUACAGCAUCUCAACUUCUAAGACUAAACAAUGCAGAUCCAACAAGAACUUGAGAAUCCCUCUUCACAGCCAGCCCAGGCUGACAUCUGAAAUAUAAUGUGACAUUACGGAGUAUACACCCAGCAAAUGACCAAGGAAAAAAGCAUGAUCCACGGAACUGCUGGAAGCUUUUCCAAGAAAAUUUAAGAGGAAUCAAUGAUUUCUAAAUUAAGUCUCAACUCAUUCUAAUAUAUAAUCAUAAGGCUCCAACUUAAAACUCUCACUCUACUUGUUAAACCAACCAACACGAAAAACUGAACUACUGAUGAAAUCAUGGAAUGAGACAUGUAAAGCAUAACUUAUCCCAUCGGUGCAUAGAGAUAUCGUCAACUCUCGUAUUUACAAUUAAAUUUUCCAGACCACCAAGAACACAGGAACACACAAGAAUCAAAUAAGAUUACUAGCAUAUGAUAGAUAUCAAAGGAAAAAUGGUCAGAUUGGAUCUUGACAAUGCAUCUUACCAAACUUCUUCUUCUUCUCUGAUUAGAUUGUAUCUAGCAUCUACCAUUCUAGUUUGCAAAUUUUAUAUUUGGUAACGAGUAGUUUACAUAAUUUUUUAGAGAUCAUCAGAAAUUUGUCUGAAUUCUUUGCAAAGCUUUCUUCUUUAUGUCCCUCCUCUUCCUUCGAUCCAAUGUUGAACUAGGCACUCUUGGUCAGGCAUGUUUUCCCUCCUUUUUAUGUAAGGUACAAAAAUUUCUCAACUUCUUUCAUCACUAAAUCAAGAUGACUCGUUCAAAAUAUCACAACAUACUUACAUCUCCCAACUUUCAAGACCAAAGUAAACCAAACAAUUUUCCCCCUAAAUCAGAGAGAUGCCUAUUAUCAAGAAAGAAUAUAGACUAUUUUCCAAUGACAACGACUCAUAUUGUUCCAACUAUCUUGGGUCUGCUACAUGGAUUUUUAUCCACCAUUGAACCCUGUGCAAGGCAAUAUCUUUAGUAAAAUCAAAGUACAUUCAAACUAUUUUUGUUGUUUCCAAUAAUAUCUUAUUAUAUCACUCUUUCCCUCUCUUGACUGAACUCGUCAUAAUUGAUUCAACUUAUCUUCCCACAGCGUUGAUGUCUUUUUUAAGCACGUCGUACAAACAAAAAUUAGAUACAACUCUAACCCUAGCAAACCAAACGCCAACACAAUUUGUAACCAAAUUAUUAACAAACUCUGCCUUUCCAUCCAACAUGGCCAAAAUUGAAAUAAGAAUAUUCUAUUUAUUUUUAGCUGCUAUCCCGGCAAACUUUAAAUAAUAAGAUAAAUAAUGAUGCACUCCAAGAAAGAACUCUACCAAACAAUGUAAGAGACAAUGAAUGCUUUUUUAUUAUCCUAACUAAAUAGCCUUAUUAACAAAAAGAAAAAAGGAGAUAGACUGAACAGUCAAUAGCCAACUAAAUUUCUUAGGGCACUAUGGAGCUGGAUUCAAGCAAAAGUUGGUGGAAAAGAUAAUUUUGUUUGAAAGAAAAUAAGCAGGUUAUUGUAAUCAGCAGAGUUCUCUGCUUUCAUAGUGGACUGCGAGCAACAAUUUCUUGCAACAAUUUCUUAGAACUAUAUCGGUGUGCAAUGCAAAGCAAAGCACCUAUUCUCUGCUAUCAUAGUGGACUGCGAGCAACAAUUUUCCAAUUUUUAAGCAAAUUGAGGUGAAUGUGAGUAAUUACUUUCCAGUUAUAAACUGAUAGCUUUUAACGAAAUAACUGAUUUAAAAAUCCAAAGUACACAAGAAAAUAGCUAAUGUUCGCAGAUAGAUUCCAAACAUCAUUAAUAAGGGAAUUAGUUUGCUUAAAAUUCACAGGUAAACUGACACAGUCAGUAUCAGAACAAUCCAAAACAAGUUACCGCAGAGCAUACAAGCAUGAACGGCUUUAGCAUUAGUGGAAGUGAAAACAAAGCACUUACGAACCAAAUAUCAUGAAAAUGAACUAUUACUGCUUUUAUUCAAACUCAGUUCUACAACCAAGUAUUGAAAUCACAGAACAAAACUAAUUAGAGAAACUGCAAAGAUUCUGAUCAAAAGGAUAAUAGUUGGAACAUAAAGAGGCUUCGAAACUAGUUAUGAUGAAACUCGAGAGAUAUAAAGUGUCUUAGACACCUGAUCUAACUAAUACUGGAAGGACUCACCGGGCUUCAUGCUCCGGAAGAUAGAGAUUGCAAUGGGGAUGAUACCCACGAGUGCAAGUUGAAGUUGUUCUGAGGUGCUCAUCCUGACGGUGAUCUGCCCAGUCCACUUGUUGUUCAGCCCAACACGAACUGCCAUCUUUGAAUUCCUCCCAAUGGAGAAUUGAGACUGCAGGUUUGCACCCAAAGCCAAAUCACCAUGCCAACUCAUCAAAGAUAACCCCAAGGUGGCAAGGGCUUGACUUAUGGGAUAAUCCUUAUCUCGGAGUCGCACCUCCAAAUUGGCUCCAUAUGCAGUAUAACCUUGUGCUCGAACAGCACCAGUGCUUGCACCAAGAUUCACUUGCUUCCCAAUAGAAAGUUGGUCUUCAAACUUUAAUCCAGUAGCUAUGGUUUCCCCCAAGAAGGUUACGGAGAUCCCUCCAGUAGUCCUGUUCUUUUUCAACAUUUUGAACUUGGUCUCACCGCGCAGAAUGUAAGAAAGUUGCUUUCCAACAGUCUGGAUAUCGAAGCCAGCGAGAGUAGAACCAUUUUCCCCAUGCUUGGCCGAGACAGAGGAAUCUAAAUGGAUGCUGAAUUCCUUUUUGUCCUUAGUCACUUGAGCUGAUAAGACAGCAGGAAAUCGGCCAGCAACAGCGAGGCUCUCUUCAAGGCUUACCCCAUCAUAACCACAAUCAUGAUCCCAACCAUGCGUAUCCAGUACUGGCCUAGCAAGAAACUGUGAGGUAGUCUCUAGAAAACGGUAUCGAUACGAUGGGGCGUCACAGUCAAAAGAAGGGGGCAAUACCAUAUCAGGCAAAGGGACUGGUACAGUUGCAGGGGCAUUAUCCUGAUCAAAAUCUUCGACCAUAUCAACAUGCCCAAAAUCAUCCUUCAACACUUUCUGUCCAUUCUUCAUCUCUUUCAAUCGUCUGAGCUCCUCCUUCCACUGUUUUUUCUGAAGAAGCUUAACUCGGUAAUCAUACUCAUCAAAAUAUGAUCUUCUUUGCUCCUUGGUCAGCUUGGCAAUUUGAGACUUGCUCAGGGGCUUAAAUGGUGGAAGUUGAUCAUACUCUUCUUCUUCUUCCCCUUGAUCAGCAUCUGAUAAGUCAUCUAGGUCAAUAUCAGAAUCUUCAUUGUCACCAUGAUGAUCGGAUGGAAGUUUUGGGUGUGCUCUGGACUGCAACAGAGAAGAAAGCAGGAAGGGAAGCGGUGGAGGACGUAGACGGAGACCAAACAGUUUUCCGGGAGAAGGAUCUUGAAGCUUUAGAAGUGAAUUAGCUUGAGAUAAUAUCUUUGAAGAGUAACAGAGCAGCAGCAUCUGUGAUCUCCAUGACAGACCAUUAGGGAGCACUUUUUGUCCCUCCCUGUUCUUUCUACAAGAUGGAUGGUUCUCAACAAGAGCCACUGGAUUCAUCAGGCGCAUGUCUCCAGCUGCUAGCCUUAUGGACUGCUGAACAGCAUGAGACCUUUGGGCCACGAACACCUCAUAGCUCAAAGGGGAACCACUUGGUCCAUCAGGAGGGGCAGACGCAGCAUGUGCGAGAGCGACAAUGGCAUUGAACCAUAUGGAUGAACCCAAAGUGCUAGUAAUUGUUCUUAGCAGAGGCAAGUCAUUCUGAUCUCGGGUCAGUGUGUCCAUGCGGUCCACAUACAAAACAAUGUCUGGAGGGCAUCUCUUUGUGUAUUUCUUUAUGGAUGCCAGGAUUCUCCUGCUUGAUGCUUGGUCCAUUCCUGAAGCUCUAAGACCUGGAGUAUCUAAAACCCGAAUCUUAACCCCCUCCACGGUUCCUACAAUCUCUUUAACAGAAGUUGUUGCUGGUUCAAAUGCACUGGUUGGAGACUUCUCUUCACCAAAUAUAGAAUUUACAGUUGCACUCUUGCCCACUCCACUCUUUCCUAGGACAAGAAUGUUACAGGAAAAGUCCAAAUCUUCAGUUCCAUCUUGUUCUAGCAGCAAAGCCUUCUUUUUUGCACUCUCAAGACUAUAAGCCUGGCCAGUUUGCCUUCCACUACGAAUACCUUCCGCAAGACUCAGACGAUAUAGCACCUGGGCUACCACCGUGUCUUCAGGUGAAUGGCCCAACCUAUGAACAAGACGUAGAAACUUCACCCUAAUAAGCUCAACUUUCUCAUGCAACUGUUUUUGUUCCUUGGUCAUUUGAUCAUCAGGCUCUGCUGCUACAGCCAGUUCAGAAGGACUAAGAAGGUUUGAUCGUGCAGGACGGGGAAGAGUAGGUUUCAGAGAUGGAAUUGAGGACCCCAGACCAGCUGGACGGUCAACCAAGAAGAUUCUAUUAGCAUCUUGAGAAGUGACACUGAUACCUCCAUCAUCAGUGGAACUGCUUGCCGCUUUCAGAAGCGCAAUCAAUGCAUCAGAAUCGAUCAUUGCAUGUCUUCCAUCCUCCUCGUCAGUCACCAACUCUUCAUCUGAAUCCAAAAUAAUCUGGCCGUCUACAUCCUUUGAGUCAUCUGACACUGAAUGAGGGGUGACACUAGAAGAGCCUUCUUCUAAUUCACUCAUCAGCUGUUUUGCAGUUUCUGAGCUCGUCGAUAUUGCCACCCUAGGUGGUCCAUCAGAAACUAAGUUUUCGUCUUCGUCCUCUGCCUUCUCCUGGUCAAGGUCUUGCACAUGAUCAAUCAAAUCUUCACUCGGUGUUGGUUCUGGUUCUGUAACUGAAGUUGGUAAUUGAGCAAGUGCAUCUUCAUUCACACCAGAAGCCCCAAAGUCAUCUCCUUCAGUCACCCUGUUUCUUGAUUCCCCAGCAGUGAUAGAUGGAGAUUGCCUAUCUUGGGCUGAUAUUGAAUUUUGCCCAUCUGGAACCAAUUCAGGCACAGGCUCAUCAUUGUUUGCCUCAGUUCCAUUUGCGGUUCGAUUCGAUUCAUUUGUUAGCUUCUCAUCCACUAUCUCCUGAACAGAACGCUCACUAGAGACAGUUUCACCAUCACUAGCUGUAUCCACUUUCUCCUGAAUAGAAGGCUUACUAAAGACAGUUUCACCAUCACUCACUGUAUCAUCUUUGUUAGCAGAACUUUCACCGGACUUACUAUCUGCAACUUCAUGAUUCUCACUCAAAUCAUUUUUCCUCAUAUUUGAUCCAUCAAGCUUUCCGGUUGAAACAUAGACCAUCAUAGUGUCCACACCGGAAUAACUCUGUAUUAAAUUUUCGUUCAUCUCUUCGUCAUUUACUCCAUGAGUUGAUUUGGAUGAUUCAUCUACUGUUUGAGAAGCAGGAGUACUUCCUUGGUUGACACAUUGAUCAGAAUCGGCAUUUUCAGAAGUGCCAAUGUCCACCUCGCUGAUAUCAGCUUUGUCUCCGCCCGUCCCUUUAGCAGGUUUUCCCAAUUUCUCGACCAAGCCUCCAUCUUUCUCCGGAGCAUCAGGGUCUACUUGCUCCUCAUUCCUAUCCACAUUUCCAGCGGCAGCAGUCCCAUCCUCGACUGGGUUAUCCUCAAUGCUCAAAGUGGGAGCAACCCCAGCAAUGUCAAUGUUCACCUCUUCCAUCCCAGCUUUGCCUCCGUUUUUCUCUUCUUCGGCGGUAUCAAACUUGUCGUUUGCUGUCUUUGACUCCAGUAGCACAUCAAUAACAGGCCUAGCAGAUUCUCCCAAUUUGUCGACCAAACUUCCAUCUUUCUCCUGAGCACCAGGGUCUGCACGCUCCUCAUCCCUAUCCACAUUGCCAGCUGCAGCAGUCUCAUCCUCGACUGGGUUCCCUUCGAUGCUCAAAGUGGGAUUCUCCACAGUCUCCAUCUCCCGUGCGGCACGUAUACAAAUUGGGUAGACAUUUUGAUCGGAAACUGCGGCAACGCCAACUUUCACGUCAUCCGCAACAUCAGGUUCGGCUACAUGUCUCUCUUCCUCAACCGCACCAAUAGUAGGGGUAGCAGACUCUCCCGAUUCCUCGACCAAGCCCUCAUCAUUCUCCUCGUGAGCAUCGUGGAGUCCGAGCUCCUCGUCGCCAUCGACAGAACCAUCCCCGAUUGGCUUCGUUUCGGUGCUUUGCGAAGUGGAAUUCUCCGUCGACUCUUUCACCACAGCCGACAAAACCUCACGAUGUGAGGUCUCCUCUGUCCUAGGGAUUUCACUUGACAGCAUUUCCACGGUCUCAUGUUGGGAAUUGCCUUGGACGGUGGCCAAAACCUGAGUCUCCGAUGGGGGCUCACCUUUCUCCUCUCCUUCCAUGAGUUCACCAUCAUUCAAUGAUCCUGAAGCUUUAGCGGCAUCCGAGAACCCAUCGUCGUCCCCAUAUUCCAGCGCCUCCUGGAACGCCUCCUCGUCCGGGUCGUCGUCCGGAGUCUCCUGUGCUACAGGCAUCGAGGAGGUGGUCGUCAAGGUGCCUCCGGCCGCGGCCGAGGCGGGGGCCGAGCCGUCACUGCUCUCCUUUUCCGGUUCCACGGCGGCACGGGGAUCCCCGUCCCCUCCUGUGUCUCCGUCGGGUUCGCUCGUCAUCGGGGCUUCCUUGGCUUCCGACGAGACUGACGCGCCGCUCACCUCGGACGCCAUCGGUAAGGAGGGGAGCGACGAGACGACCCGAAGGAGCGGAAAAGAAGGCAGAAAGAGUUCUACAAGCCGAGUGACGAGCGUCUAAUGACCGAAUGGGGUUGGGAAGUGAUAAGGAGAGCGGGCGGCAUGAGAUCAGAUAAGGCAGGGAGGCGAGCGUUCUGUUUUUGCCCUUUUCCUGAACAAUUUUUUUUUCUCUAUAUACAGAAUAAUGUAGUUUGGGCCAUUGAUGGCAGCCCAAAAGUAAAUUUGGGCUUUCAAUUUCCUCACCGUAUGAUGUCAUAGAUUGGGUUAUUUACGAUGGUGUGUUGAGAACGCUCGGGUAUCGGCCAUCCAAACAUUGUAAGGGAUCUAACCAAAAGCACAUUUUCGACUCUAAUCAAUUGAAUCUGUUUGGACGGAGUAAUGUACUGCGAUUUUGUUUGAAUCAAAAAAAUACGUUUGUUCGAAAAACAAAGAUAAAUUAAUUAUCUUUUAUGUUCGUUUUGGUUGUCCCACUGAUUUGUUUGUUGUGCCCUCAUAUCAAUUUGCUAGGAUCAGAUCAGCAUCUUCCAUUAGGUGGUUUAUUUAUGCCUUGAUGAUUUGCUACCAUCAAAUUACUUUGAUUGAUUGGUUGAUCACUAAAAUUUUCUAAAUACUAAAAAUAUCUAAUGCCUAUCGAAGCUGAAACUUUAAUAAGAGUAGACAGAUGGCAUUGUACGUGAUUUUAACGAUUACGAGUAUGAAAUCUCAUCUCAUUUCAGAUGUAAACUUUUCCCAAAAAUAACAUUUGAUUCGAUGCACUAAACUAAGUCGGUCAUCAAGAGGUAAUACACCGUGCUCAUCUUUCCCUCUCCGCGGCAGCCGUCGUCGCUGCUCUCUCGUUUUUUCCUUCGUCGCCCUCACAUCACAUGCUCUCCAUGGAGGUGGGGACGAUAUAGGAGUAAGUCUCAUCAUUUGAUCUACUUGGUUCUAAACUACAAUUUUUAUUUCUAAUAAUAUCAAUCCGUACAUGGUGUGAGAAUAUGUAUUAAACAAUAAUAAUAAUACUUUUAUUGCAUGAUUAAUCACCGAUCGAGAUAUCAACAUGUUAUGGCCAUAGGGCAUACCUGGGUGAGGUUCCUGCUGUAGUGUAGAUCCAGCCGCCGGCCUUUAGCAGGUUUGAUUAGGAAACUCAUGGCGGAGCAUUGAAUGAUGGACGGUGACCUGAAUCCUCGUGCGGGAGUCAAAACCUGAGAGAGAUGAAAGAAAAGAGUUAGUUCAUCAUCGGAAGCAACAAUAUUUAAAGAGUUUUCCUGAUUAACCACUUAAUCGAUCAAGAUUGAUACAAGUUUGCUUAUCUGCGUUAUUCUUUCCGAUGCACAGUCCUCCCACGCCCUAAAGAGCUCGCAGUAGUAGUAUGUCGCCCUCGUCACCAUCUUCCCCCUCCGCUCGCUCCCUCGCCAUGUCUUAUGCUGGACCAGAUUUUUUUUUGUUUUGCUACAGGGAUUUGGAACCUAAUUCCAUAUCAUUAAUCUCCUCUGUCCACGGUCACAGUAAGGAUAUUAUUCAUACGAGAGGGAGGGAAUCAGUGUACAUGCUAACAGAUGAUUAGAAUGUCAAACCAUUUAUUUAAAACACAUCCCUACGAGAAAAUUUAAAUUUAUGGAGCAAUUUUGAUUGUGAAAAGGAGACUUGGUUAGAGCUAAGUCGAGGAGGUCAUGAAGCGUGAACAUGAGUCAUCCUUCUCAUUGGACGGAAUAGCAGUGUUCUAUUCAAAUCGACUACAUGGUUCUAUAACAUCUCAAAUUGUUCAUCAAAAUGGGUGUUGUGCAUUAUCCGAAUAUGUCAAAACAUGGGCCAAAACAGAUACAAAUACCAGAAUGACUAAACAACUCUUUUCGGAUAUAAAUCUAAAAUGUCCAGCACUUAUUCGGAAAAGAGAAAAGACACUGCCGAAAUAAGAACUUGAAAAGUAGAGAGUUUUCCUCUUAGAAUAUAAAAAAAAGUACCAAGCUCCACCGGUUAGAUGAUAACAGAGACCCAGGAAUUCAACUCCACAGCUAGCCCAGACUGACAUCUGAAAAUAUAAUGAGGGAAGCAUAAUGAGAAUACAAAAUAAACAAAGAUUUCUGAAUUAGAGUCUCAACUUAUUCUAAUAUAAAAAGAGUGCUUCGGAAAAAUACACAAUCAAUCAUAAGCCUCCAACACAAAACAGUCAGUUUUUAACCAACCAACACACCGUUGCUGUUAGCGAGCUACACGAAAAACUGAACUACUAAGCAAAGAAAGUUGGUUUAGGCUUCACGUCUCGGAAACAAACUGACCUGCUGAUGAAAUCAUGAAAUGAGAAAUGUACAGCACAACUUGUCCCAUCAGUGCAUAGAGAUAAUAUCAUGUUUGGCAUUUACAAUUAAAUCUUCCAGACCACCAAGAACCCAAGAACAUACAAAUCAAAUAAAACUACCAGCAUAUGAUACCAAAAGAAAAAUGAUCAGAUUGGAUCUUGACAAUGCAUCUUACCAAAAGACAACAGUAAGAAAUUUAUCAAAGAGAAGCCAAAACAAACCACACAAUGAAUGAGACGGAGGAGAAACAUGUGCUAUGGCCCAAGAGAUUCUGACCUACCAUUGCAAUUUGCAUAAUUCUAUUGCAAACAAUGUUUUUUAUUCGAAUUCACUAUUUUCAUGGAAAUUUGUGGUUGAACAAUAGCCUUGAAAAGCAUGACGAUAACUUGGCCUUUAAGUUGCAGCAGGGUCAUCACGUGUGACCCAUGUCAACCGGCACAGCAAUGCUUGUUUACAAACGUCUAUCUCAUCUUGCCAAAAAGAAUGAGUAUUUCCAUUUUGACAUGAAGUAAAUUAUGACAAGUUACGAAACUGGUUAUUAUCAUGGAAAUUUGCCACUGAGCUUGCGAGGAGUGUUUGUGCACAAACAUGCAUCUGAUCAUCUCUUAUCAGACAAACCUUUUCUAAUCUGCAAUAGAAGGAAGGCUUUUUUAUGGCUAGAUGCAUUUUCCUCUCAUCUUAUGAAGCACUAGAAAGAUAGUCCAUUAUUAACAAAGGAAAAUCCAAGUUGGAUAAAAGAAUAUUUAAGCCCCUAUCAAUUAAAAUUUCUUUAACUUUUCGUUCUCCGAAUAGAUUGUAUCUAUCAUUCUAGUUUGCAUAACAUUUAGGUCCAAACUCAAAAUUUUUUAUUUGGUAACAAGUAGUUUUCAUAAACUUUUAGAGAUAAUCAGAAAUUUGUUUAAAUUCUUUGCAAAGCUGUCUUCCUUGUGUCAACCUCUUAGCAGCCAUUCUUGGUUGGCAUGUUUUCCCUCCUUUUUAUAAAAAUAAGGUACAAAAAUUUCUGAACUUCUUCCAUCACUAAAUCAAGGUGACUAGUUCAAAAUAUCACAAUAUACCUACAUCUCCAACUUUCAAGACCAAAGGAAACCAAACAAUUUUUUCCCUAAAUCAGAGAUGCCUAUUACAAAGAAAAGCUAUAGAUGAUUUUCCAUUGACAACACAUAUUGUUCCAACUAUAUUUGGGAAGGCUACAUGAAUUUUUAUCCACCAUUAAACUCUGUGUAAGGAAAUAUCUUUAGUUAAAUCAAAGCACAUUCAAACCUUUUUUUGUUGUUUCUAUGAAAGUCUAACUAUAUCAUUCUUUACCUCUCAUCGCUGAAAUCAUCAUAAUUGACUCAACUCAUCUUCCCAUAACUUUGAUGUCUUCUUUGGACAUGUCACAAAAUAAAAAAUUAUAUGUAAACCAAACACCAAAGAAAUUUUUAACCAAAUUAUUAACAGACUCCGCCUAUCCAUCCAUCUUGGCCAAAAUUGCAAAAGAAUAUUCUAUUUAUUUUAGCUGCUAUCCCAGCAAACUUUAAAUAAUAAGAUAAAUAAUGAUGUACUCCAAGAAAGAACUCUACCAAACAAUGUAAAAGACAAUGAAUGCUUUUUAUUAUCCUAACUAAAUAGCCUUAUUAACAAAAAAAGGAGAUAAAUUGAACAUGUCAAUAGCCAAACAAAUUUCUUAUGGAACUAUGCUUGCUGUAGUAAAUAUGGAUCUGGAUUCAACCAAAUGUUAGUGGCAAAGAUAGUUUUCUUUGAAAGAAAAUAAGCAGGUUAUUGUAAUCAGCAGGGUUCAGCUUAGAACUACAUCGGUGUGCAAAGCAAAAUACCAAUUCUUUGAUUUCAUAGUGGACUGCUAGCAGCACUGAUAGGACAGCUCAAGCUCAUAACCAACAAUCUUCUAUUUUCGAAGCAAACUGAGGUGAAUGUGAGUAAUUAUUUUCCAGUUAUAAACUGAUAGCUAUAAACGAAAUAACUGAUUUAAAAAUCCUCAUUACACAAGAAAAUAGCUAAUGUUCACAGAUUGAUUACCAAAAUCAUUAAUAAUGGAAAUAGUUCGCUUAAAAUUCAAAGGUCAACUGACACAUUCAGCAUCAGAACAGUCCAAAACAAGCUACCUCAGAGCACACAAGCAUGAACGCCUUUAGCAUUAGAAGAACAAAAAAAUAAUGCACUUAUCUUACAUAUGAACUAAAUUGAAAAUGAACUAUUCCUGCUUUUAUUCAAACUUAGUUCUACAACCAAGUAUCAUAAUCCUAAGAAAUCAUGGACCAAAAUUAAUUUGAGAACUGCAAAUAUUAAUAGAUAGAACAUAAAGAGGCUACAAAAGAAGUUAUGCUGAAACUGGAGAGAGUUAAAGUGUCUUAUUCCACUGAUAUUUUUAAGACAGUAGACUCACCGGGCUUCAUGCUCCGGAAGAUAGAGAUUGCAAUGGGUAUGAUACCCACGAGUGCAAGUUGAAGUUGUUCAGAGGUGCUCGUCCUGACAGUGAUCUGCCCAGUCCGCUUGUUGUUCAGCCCAACGCGAACUGCCAUCUUUGAAUUCCUCCCAAUGGAGAAUUGAGACUGCAGGUUUGCACCCAAAGCCAAAUCACCAUGCCAACUCAUCAAAGAUAACCCCAAGGUGGCAAGGGCUUGGCUUAUGGGAUAAUCCUUAUCUCGGAGUCGCACCUCCAAAUUGGCUCCAUAUGCAGUAUAACCUUGUGCUCGAACAGCACC